ACAUGCAAGUCGAGGGGUAGUUGGUUUCGGGUACCAAGAGACCGGACGCACGGGUGCGUAACGACGUAUGCAAUCUACCUUUGCAGAGGGAUGGCCCAGAGAAAUUUGGAUUAAUACCUCAUAGUAUAGUACUUUGGCAUCAAGGAACUAUUAAAGUCACAACGGCAAAAGAUGAGUAUGCGUCCCAUUAGCUAGAUGGUAAGGUAACGGCUUACCAUGGCUACGAUGGGUAGGGGUCCUGAGAGGAGAUCCCCCCACACUGGUACUGAGACACGGACCAGACUCCUACGGGAGGCAGCAGUGAGGAAUAUUGGACAAUGGGCGCAAGCCUGAUCCAGCCAUGCCGCGUGCAGGAUGACGGUCCUAUGGAUUGUAAACUGCUUUUGUACAGGAAGAAACACUCCCUCGUGAGGGAGCUUGACGGUACUGUAAGAAUAAGCCCCGGCUAACUCCGUG
rnacentral:rRNA from 1 species